CAUAGUGGCUAUGUCACGUUGAAUGGAGCGGUUCUCGUCCGAUCGCCGAAGUUAAGCAACGUCGAGCCUAGUUAGUACUUACAUGGGUGAUUGCUUGGGAAAAACCUAGGCGCUGUAGGC
rnacentral:rRNA from 1 species